rnacentral:misc_RNA from 1 species
GUGAGUCAUCGAAUCUUUGAACGCACAUUGCGCCCAUUAGUAUUCUAGUGGGCAUGCCUGUUCGAGCGUCAUUUCAACCCUCAAGCUUAGCUUGGUGUUGGAGUUCUACACACAGUAGACUCUGAAAUUCAGUGGCGGACUCGCUAUGAUUCCGAGCGCAGUAAUCUCUCUCGCUUUGGAUAUCUGGUGUAGCCUUGCCAUGAACACCUGUAUUUUUCUAUGGUUGACCUCGGAUCAGGUAGGAAUACCCGCUGAACUUAAGCAUAUCAAUAAGCGGAGGA